GCAGAAUUCCGGUCUGUCGCUGGUACGCUUUUGCGUAUGAGAGGAAAGUCCGGGCAGUAUAGGGUACUCCACUUCCCAAAUUAGAAGCUAUUGGCAACAGUAGGAAAUGGUAGAAGAAAAUAACCGCUGUAAUUCUUUACAGUAAGGGUGAGAAGGUGGUGUAAGAGACCACCAGCUGAUGGGUGAUCAUCAGGCUGUGUCAUCUGGAGGCUGCAAGUUCGCGUAUACUAUCGUCUGAGGGUUGCCCGCCCGAUUAAUUCCGAUAGAGGGUGGAACGCUAGAGCCGUGUGGCAACAUACGGAGUAGAUAAAUGGCAGACACUGUGUUUCAUGAGAGUGACUCAUAGUACAGAACCCGGCUUACAGGGAUUCUGUUUUC
rnacentral:RNase_P_RNA from 1 species